AACGAACGCUGGCGGCAUGCCUAACACAUGCAAGUCGAACGAAGCCUUCGGGCUUAGUGGCGCACGGGUGCGUAACGCGUGGGAAUCUGCCCUUGGGUUCGGAAUAACAGUUAGAAAUGACUGCUAAUACCGAAUGAUGUCUUCGGACCAAAGAUUUAUCGCCCAAGGAUGAGCCCGCGUCGGAUUAGCUAGUUGGUGAGGUAAAGGCUCACCAAGGCGACGAUCCGUAGCUGGUUUGAGAGGAUGAUCAGCCACACUGGGACUGAGACACGGCCCAGACUCCUACGGGAGGCAGCAGUGGGGAAUAUUGGACAAUGGGCGAAAGCCUGAUCCAGCAAUGCCGCGUGAGUGAUGAAGGCCUUAGGGUUGUAAAGCUCUUUUACCAGGGAUGAUAAUGACAGUACCGGGAGAAUAAGCCCGGCUAACCUCCGUGCCAGCAGCCGCG
rnacentral:rRNA from 1 species